rnacentral:rRNA from 1 species
GACGAACGCUGGCGGCGUGCCUAAUACAUGCAAGUCGAGCGGACCGACGGGAGCUUGCUCCCUUAGGUCAGCGGCGGACGGGUGAGUAACACGUGGGUAACCUGCCUGUAAGACUGGGAUAACUCCGGGAAACCGGGGCUAAUACCGGAUGCUUGAUUGAACCGCAUGGUUCAAUCAUAAAAGGUGGCUUUYAGCUACCACUURCAGAUGGACCCGCGGCGCAUUAGCUAGUUGGUGAGGUAACGGCUCACCAAGGCGACGAUGCGUAGCCGACCUGAGAGGGUGAUCGGCCACACUGGGACUGAGACACGGCCCAGACUCCUACGGGAGGCAGCAGUAGGGAAUCUUCCGCAAUGGACGAAAGUCUGACGGAGCAACGCCGCGUGAGUGAUGAAGGUUUUCGGAUCGUAAAACUCUGUUGUUAGGGAAGA